rnacentral:tRNA from 1 species
AAAAAGUUGGCCGAGUGGUUAAGGCGACAGACUCGAAUUUGCCUUGCUUUUCAAGGCUCUAUCGUUAUCUGUUGGGUUCGCCCGCACAGGUUCAAAUCCUGUAGCUGUCG